rnacentral:lncRNA from 1 species
AUGGCGGCUGUCUUGGUGGAGAAUGCUGUUGCAAAAUCGCUUUCCAUUUCUAAGAAUUCGCUCCAUCUGUUACCCUCCUAACACUGUCUAGACAAUUUCAAAGUAUUACAUAAUUCAUAGUGGCUGAACACGUUCCUGUUUACUCCAGAGUUGGUUAACAAAGGUCACUGAUAAAAUAAUCUUUUUAACUGGAAUGAAAAACAUCUCAACAAUCCAAGACACUGAAGAGCUGGCCACACCAGGACUUUCUGAUAGUGAUUCAUGGGUGAAAUGAAAGCACAGCAGGCUCGCCAGUCCCUGGUUUCUGGCAAGGUUUUGACAGGUGUCCAAAAAUGAGACACCGGCUUGUGUCCACACUAGAGAAAUGGAGGCUGUUGUCUGUGGCCAGUCUUUUCAUUCUGCGACGGGCUGCGGAGCAAGAGCCUGGAGCUGGGGAUGCAGAACCGCCUGUCCAGGGAGGACCCGGGGCCGAGUUCCUGCAUAGGGCGCCUCAGAAGCUGUGGAAUGCACUUGACUCGGGCACCGAGUACUAGGACUCAAAGGAAAAGAAGAAGGAAAGGAAGCAGCACAGAAAGGAUAAACAUGGACAUGUUGAAAUGGCCCCAGACAGCAUCUGAAGAGCAACCGGAGCACGCCUACCGAUUUUUCAAAAGCCUGCAUCUGCGCAUGGGCGAGAGGUGGCCCACCACGCAGUGCCGAAUGAGCCCCGUGUCGCACGGCGAGAGGAAGGAGUAGACUGUGUUUCAUGACACCCAGUUGCCGCCUUUCACCCUCGACGUGCAAGAUUCAGCCGAAAGUGGGACUCACAUGCCAGUUGUACUGAGACUGCGGUGUCUUUGAAGCAGGGACGUCAGCGAUGUCACAGAAAUCUCCGUCUGAACAGCGGCGGUCCUGACGUCUUAGCUAAUGGGUGUGUGGCCUCGAAUGUGAGAAUGGUCCCCUUCAAGCCUCCCAACAGCUAUAAUUUGUGUAAGAAGCAAAGCCUGUCCUGAGCAGAGCCUCGCCCACACCAGUCGACUCUUCAUGGCUCCUCACAUUUCAAAGCUGUGCCUGGACCGCAUCUGGGGAUCUGGUUGGACACAGAUUGAUUCCGCAGGUCUGGGUGGGCUUGAGGGCCCGCCUUUCUGCCUCCUGGGGAUGCCAAGCCCUCAUCCUCAGGCCUGGAGAGGGCUUACUGAGUUUGAGAGACACAGAUCACCCACUCGCCAGGCCUCCGGUGUCACGGUCAGAUCCAGCCAUACAGCCCUAAGCCAGACUCGGCUCCUGCCCUCCAAGGGUGCAGGCAAAGAGGGCACGUUUGAAGUCCAUCGUGCAGGACUGAGGAUCCAUUGUACAUAUCAGAAGCUAACACGGGAAGUGAUUAAAAGUAACAAGAUAGAAAGUAUCAGAGAAAUCGAUCCUUUUAGAAGUCAGUGGUUGCCUCUGUCUCGUGGCUGGAAAGCCCUGGAAAGAUAUUCUUUGGAAAAGAUAUUCUUCCUGGGUAAGAAUUACCGCGUAUAA